rnacentral:rRNA from 1 species
AUUGAACGCUGGCGGAAUGCUUUACACAUGCAAGUCGGACGGCAGCACGGACUUCGGUCUGGUGGCGAGUGGCGAACGGGUGAGUAAUGUAUCGGAACGUGCCCGGUCGUGGGGGAUAACGUAGUGAAAAUUACGCGAAUACCGUAUACGAUCUAUGGAUGAAAGCGGGGGAUCGCAAGACCUCGCGCGAUUGGAGCGGCCGAUAUCAGAUUAGGUAGUUGGUGGGGUAAAGGCCCACCAAGCCAACGAUCUGUAGCUGGUCUGAGAGGACGACCAGCCACACUGGAACUGAGACACGGUCCAGACUCCUACGGGAGGCAGCAGUGGGGAAUUUUGGACAAUGGGCGAAAGCCUGAUCCAGCCAUUCCGCGUGCAGGAUGAAGGCCCUCGGGUUGUAAACUGCUUUUGUACAGAGCGAAAAGGUUUCUACUAAUACUAGGAGCUCAUGACGGUACUGUAAGAAUAAGCACCGGCUAACUACGUGCCAGCAGCCGCGGUAA